rnacentral:lncRNA from 1 species
ACCUUUUUCGGUCGGGAAUAAAGACAGUAGUGUAAAAUAUAUUUGAAACUCGUUCUAAGCAUUGGUCCCGUGAGGUGGUGAAAAAAUAGGAUUCGUGAUAAGGGUGUUUGGUCGAGGACUUGUGAAGGUUGCUCCAUAAAAUAAUGUCAAAUAUGUCAUUUCAUGUGAAAAAAUAAAGUUAACAAUUCUUCUCUUAUAAUAUACAAAGAAAGAAUUAAAAAUAGAUGAUUAUAUUGUAAUGGGGGAGACAAUAGAGUUUGAUGAAAUCAAAAGUUUUCUAUUUUUAGUCAUUAUCAGUAUUAUUUCGAUUGUAAGUGGAUGUGACUAAAAUAUCUAUGUACCACGUGUUUUUCCUUAAUGAGACUCGCAGAAAAAUGUGUAUUACAUCAUAAAAGAAAAGAUCAUUCACUCCUCAUUAUCAUAAGGGGAAAUGCAUACUCUAUAUUCUCAUUAUGAAAUAAAUCGAACCCAACGCUAGUUGGGUAAUUAUUAUGUACAUGAAACUGAUCUACAUUGUCAAAAUUUGAUGAAGUUUCAACUUUAAAAAUGUUGGUAAUUCAAUCUUAAAAGGGGUGCAGGUUCCUACUUAAUCCAUUCAUGUUCGUAAAGAACCCAAAUAAUUGGUGUUUAUAUGGCAAAAAUGAUCUUUGCUUAUUGCUUCCCUUCCUCUUUUUAUUUGUCAAAUAAAGCUUCUUGUAUGUCGAUAAUGCCUUUUUGGGUUGUUCUUCCUUCCUUUUUUUAAUGACGAUGCUUUCUACUUUUGUCUUGACAUGAUUUUUUGGCACCGAAGAAUUCAA